UUUUAUGAUAAAUUUGCUAGAACAAUCCUGCAAUUCCAUCUGUUCAGCUCACAUCAGAAUGUCACUCUGAAGAAAUUAAUGGUGCAGAGUUAUACAAAGUUACUACAAGCUUUGGUUGCAGAUUUAGAGUGUGGAUCAGCAUUAGGGUGAGAAGUAUUAGGUUGGUGCAAACAUAACUGCGUUUUUUGCCAUUACUACGGAAUCGAGGAGAAUAGAAAAUAAAGAUCUUCACAGAAUCAUGACAUGACUAUUAUCUAUCUUUUAAGUUACUUUAUUCAGGGGAUGGCUUUGCCAGGAAAAGCCCUUCAAUAGCAGCCUGGCCAAAGAUUCUGGGCAAAUAAGUUGGCUGGGUCCAUGGGCAAUCAAGAUUCUGGGACCUGCAAUCAAACUUGCUGCUGGCGUUUAAAUAACUAUCUUGGAAUUUUACUGAGUUUAUAAGCCUGCAAAUAAGUUAUACUGAUAUAACGAAAGUCAGGAGGGACAACAUCUGAGCAAGAUAAAUCUGAGGCUACCAGCGGGAUGUUACACUCGGUCUACUGACUCACAUGCAUCUUCUCCAAGAACACCCUCACAGACACACCUGGAGAAGCUCAAGCAUUCUAAUCAAAAUGAAAACCACCUGGAAUUCUCUUUCAGCAGAAGAGGAAUGGGUUCCAUUCCUAUUGAAGCAUUGAGAAUAAAUAACCCUUUACCAGCUACCUGAGUAUUCCUUAAUUCAGUCAAGUUUCAUCCAAAAUCAACUGUUGCAACUUAUUCUGAAAUGUUCAACUAGCUUUACAUUCUUUAGAUUAGGUCCUGCUUGUUCAUGAUAUAUUGUACUUUUGUAUAGAGCUAGAUUUUAUUUAAAAUACUGUGAAGUUUGUUUGAGGCUGAGGUGGGAGAAUCAAUGAGCCCAGGAGGUUGAGGGUGUAGUGAGCCGUGAUUGUGCCACUGUGCUAUCCCCUGGUAACAG
rnacentral:lncRNA from 1 species